rnacentral:siRNA from 1 species
AGCUAGUGACUCGAGAUGAUACCU